GAGUUUGAUCGUGGCUCAGAUUGAACGCUGGCGGCAUGCCUUACACAUGCAAGUCGAACGGCAGCAUGAUCUAGCUUGCUAGAUUGAUGGCGAGUGGCGAACGGGUGAGUAAUACAUCGGAACGUGCCCUGUAGUGGGGAUAACUAGUCGAAAGAUUAGCUAAUACCGCAUACGACCUGAGGGUGAAAGUGGGGGACCGCAAGGCCUCAUGCUAUAGGAGCGGCCGAUGUCUGAUUAGCUAGUUGGUGGGGUAAAGGCCCACCAAGGCGACGAUCAGUAGCUGGUCUGAGAGGACGAUCAGCCACACUGGGACUGAGACACGGCCCAGACUCCUACGGGAGGCAGCAGUGGGGAAUUUCGGACAAUGGGCGAAAGCCUGAUCCAGCAAUGCCGCGUGUGUGAAGAAGGCC
rnacentral:rRNA from 1 species